CCUGAAAGAAGACGUGCAGAGAAGCAAGGGAAAAAUUCUUUUACUUUGCCUCCUCAUUGCUUCAGUUCCAUAACUUCAUGUCUGGUGAUCUAGACGGAGGCUUAUUCUUGCUUCAGGACAAAAGCAACUACAGGUCAAGACAUGACGGAAGUACUGUAAGGGAAGAAAAUUAGUCAUCAACUGUUUGUGCAGGGUUUCACUAGGAGGAGCCAUACCGUAUGUAAUGCUCAGAGCUGUUUGCAAUUACUGUACACCAGAUCUAGUUCCAGGGCAGCUUUUUUGCUAUUUAUCUUUUUAAUGAAGACUUUUCAAAUAGAUCAGAAGGCAAAUUUAACUCAAGUUACUGUGAUCCUUUGAUUUCUCAGUACGUUAUUUAUAAUUAUAGACUUCAUUCUGCCACCAAGAGGUCAGUAGCUAUAAUUACCACAUCCACACACACUUUAUGUAGGGCUGUAGUAUUUUGUUAAAAUAAAUAAAUAAAUAAAAUAAAAUAAAACUAUAUCUUCCUGUAAGUUUUGUACAACAAUAAUCACAACAGAUAUGAUUCUGCCUUGCACUUAAACUGCAGGAGAAGUAGUAGGCAAUAAAGACGUUGAGGAAUCAGGAGUAGGAGCAGGACAUUAUUUGAUUUCUGCAGUUGUUCAUCCCUAGGGAGAGCACAACCGUUAAAGGACUGAGAAUGGCACAGAGCCACCUCAGUCCAGGUUGGAAAACACAGGAGAAGAAAAGGAGUGAGUAAUGAGUCAGACUCCCUUUGGGAGCUGCCCAGGGUUCCUGUCAUUGCCGUGUUCCUUCAGGAAGCUCAGAGGUCCCUGUGGGCUUGUGGAGAAGAUGGUUAUGGAUCAGCCUCCAGUUCUGGACUGAUGCAUGCCCCAGAGGAGUAUCUGGCUUGGCAGACUCUUGCAGUCGUAUCUGUUCUGAACUCGUCAGAGGUAGCUCAAAAAGAAAUCCAUGAGGUGGCCCCAACUCUCUGUCCUCUCCUUCAAACCCCUGUUGAAAGACCAUUAAAAAGCUACAUGACACUGAAGCACAGCAUCGGCAUUAAGAACACUGCACGUAUAAGCAUUUAUCCAGCCAGAGAAAAGUAACAUUAACCUGACAGACUGCCUCCAGAAAUAGAGGAAUAUACGUAUGGGAAAGAAAUGCUUCAUUUUUGAUGGUAAAAAUGUAAGUGGACCCUCCUGAAGGGAUGUAAUUAAAAAAUGUAGCAGGAGUAGGGAGGGGAAACAUGGAUGAUGAAAGGCAGUUUUAUCCCAGUAGAAGGCUUCCUUCUUCAGCAUUUAUGGGGAGGCUCUGUAGCUGCAGGGAGACUAAAGCAGAAGAGGGUAAUGAGAGAGACAUGAAGACUGGGUAUUAAAUGUGAGAAGAGAGCAGCUGGAUGUGGAAAUGAGGAUAAGGCUUUGAACUGAGCACGUGGGCAAAAGACUGAAGCUAAUCAGCUGCAUUCAGGAGGUGGAGAGCUAGGCUGGGGGACCUAAGGGGGACUGUGACAAGAAAUGCAGACACGAGAGACCAAUGCUUUCAGGUAAGAGGCUGGUAGAGAAAAGGGAAGAUUGGUGACUGGAACUGGCUGGGAAAAUAGAAUGGCAGUUGUCUGAGAGAGAAAGCAGUGCUGGAGAAUAAGGAUACAGAGAUGUAGAAGGAACAGAAAUGGGACAGGUGUGGUUUGAGGUGUGUAAGACAGACUUGGUGUGGAAAAACAUCUGUAAGAGACUGCAGCCGCUUCCCUAGCCAUUCCAGAUAACAAGGCCCCUGUGUCAGGGCACUGCUCCGAUGUCAUCCCACAGCAAAAGUGGCCUCUGGUCCACAGAGGAGUUGGCAACUUUGCAUUGCUAUAAAUUGCCCCAUCAUCUCAGAGGGUAUGAUAAAUGCAUAUGGAGAAGCUAAAAGCUAACCUCACUAGUGUGAGGCAUAGAGGUGUUAAUAUGAUGCCACAUAAUAGAUUUUUUUUUUCCACUUUGCUUCAUUAAGAACCUAGGAAAUUACCUACAAACACUCUGUUAAAAGAACUCUGUGAGCUGCCAAAACAAACACUCAGAAGUUGGAAAGUGCCAGAGCUGAAGCUGUGUAGCUUUUUCCCCAUUUGCACAUAUUCAUAGGCAACACAUCUUUAUUUGCAGGAAAAGGUACUCUUCUCCCACAGAAACUGUGUCAGUCUGUGCUCAGCCCUGGGUUCUGUCAAGAUGAUUCAGGAUUGUGUAAGAGGUGCCAUAGUCUACCCACACUAUCUAUCCAUUUGCUGUAGGUUCAAUAAGGCUUUUUGAAUACGUUUGAUUAGGGCAAAUCAGUGGGGUAUAUCUUGCUUAAAGCUGUUGAAUACUAAUCUGAAGAACUAGAUACAACCCUGCCUGACUGUGCCACAAAUCUCUUCUACUCCAAUAAUAAGUUCUUACACCAAGUUUUGCACACAUGGUGACUAAUUGCACGUUCCCAGUUACGUGGAUACCUGGCUUAAGACUCCAGGGCCUGAUCUGGAGAAGUGCUGAGCACUCGCAGCUGCAGCAGAACUCAAUGGGAUCUCUGCUCUGAAUAUCUAAAGAAUUACAUAAUGGUAAGUACCCUGACAAAUUAGAACCUGGAGUCUUAAAUAAAGCACCCCAAAUCACUGCA
rnacentral:lncRNA from 1 species